GGACCCAUAGCUCAACUUGGUUAGAGUGCCUGUAUGACAUGCAGGAGGUUGAAAGUUCAAGUCUUUCUGGGUCCACCA
rnacentral:tRNA from 2 species